ensembl:ncRNA F45B8.19 ncRNA
CAGGUAUUGUUGUACAGAUUACAUAAGACUUGCCGCCAGCAAUCCAAUUAAUUAUGCACAUCCUCCUUGUAGUCACUUAUAAUGAGAGGUCAUCUUACCUUUUUGUGUAUACACACACCUUG